rnacentral:rRNA from 1 species
GCUAGUAAUCGCGGAUCAGCACGCCGCGGUGAAUACGUUCCCGGGCCUUGUACACACCGCCCGUCACACCAUGGAAGUCUGCAAUGCCCGAAGCCGGUGGCCUAACCACUUAUGUGGAAGGAGCCGUCUAAGGCAGGGCAGAUGACUGGGGUGAAGUCGUAACAAGGUAGC